AAUCGAACUCGGAGAUAGCUGGUUCUCCCCGAAAUAGCUUUAGGGCUAGCCUGAGGUAGUAAGUAUAGGCGGUAGAGCACUGAUCGGGCUAGGGGCCGUAAAGGUUACCGAACCCUGUCAAACUCCGAAUGGAUAUACUGUAGAGCCUUGGAGUCAGACUACGAGUGAUAAGAUCCGUGGUCAAAAGGGAAACAGCCCAGACCACCAGCUAAGGUCCCCAAUGUCGUACUAAGUGGAAAAGGAUGUGGGGUUUCAUAAACAACCAGGAUGUUGGCUCAGAAGCAGCCACCAUUUAAAGAGUGCGUAAUAGCUCACUGGUCGAGAGACCCUGCGCCGAAGAUUCCCGGGGCUAAAGUACGAAACCGAAGCUGUGGCUGUAUACGUAAAGUAUACGGGGUAGGGGAGCGUUCCCAUAGGGUAGAAGUCGAACUGGAAGGUUCGGUGGACUUGUGGGAAGUGAGAAUGUUGGUAUGAGUAGCGAAAAGAAAGGUGAGAAUCCUUUCCACCGAAAGCAUAAGGAUUCCUGAGCAACGAUCGUCGUCUCAGGGUAAGUCGGGACCUAAUCCGAGGCAGAGAGCGUAGGAGAUGGACAACUGGUUGAUAUUCCAGUACCGGUAGUAAUUGUUUGAGCAAUGGAGUGACACAGAAGGGCAGGCAAGCAUGCGAAUGGAAGAGCAUGUGUAAGCGUGUAGGGUGGUGCAUAGGCAAAUCCGUGCACUGAAAGCCUGAGGCGUGAUGCGGAGUGAGCAGAGAUGCGAGCGAAGUUGUUGACCCCACACUGUCGAGAAAAGCUUCUAGUGAGAGAGCUACCGCCCGUACCGUAAACCGACACAGGUAUGCGGGGAGAGAAUCCUAAGGUGCGCGGGAGAACCCUCGUUAAGGAACUCGGCAAAAUGUACCCGUAACUUCGGGAUAAGGGUAGCCACUGUUGUGAAGUCCCAUGCGGAUGGAGCAUAGAGUGGUCGCAGAGAAGAGGCCCAAGCGACUGUUUACCAUAAACACAGGUGCCUGCUAAAGCGAAAGCUGACGUAUAGGUGCUGACACCUGCCCAGUGCCGGAAGGUUAAGGAAGGAUGUUCGGAUUAGUCCAAAGCAUUCGACUGAAGCCCCGGUGAACGGCGGCCGUAACUAUAACGGUCCUAAGGUAGCGAAAUUCCUUGUCGGGUAAGUUCCGACCCGCACGAAAGGUGUAACGAUUUGGGCACUGUCUCAACGAGGGACCCGGUGAAAUUGAAAUACCUGUGAAGAUGCAGGUUACCCGCGACUGGACAGAAAGACCCCAUGGAGCUUUACUGUAACCUGACAUUGGGUUUUGAUACAUUACGUACAGGAUAGGUGGGAGGCUUGGAAAGUUGGACGCUAGUCUGACUGGAGCCGACGUUGGGAUACCACCCUUGAUGUAUUGAAAUUCUAACCGCGAGAGUAACGAAAUCCGGGACAGUGUCAGGCGGGCAGUUUGACUGGGGCGGUCGCCUCCGAAAGAGUAACGGAGGCGCCCAAAGGUUCCCUCAGCGCGGCCGGAAAUCGCGCGAAGAGUGUAAAGGCAGAAGGGAGCUUGACUGCGAGUCAAACACGACGAGCAGGUACGAAAGUAGGGCUUAGUGAUCCGGUGGUACCGAGUGGAAGGGCCAUCGCUCAACGGAUAAAAGCUACCCUGGGGAUAACAGGCUAAUCUCUCCCAAGAGUCCAUAUCGACGGGGAGGUUUGGCACCUCGAUGUCGGCUCAUCACAUCCUGGGGCUGAAGUCGGUCCCAAGGGUUGGGCUGUUCGCCCAUUAAAGUGGUACGUGAGCUGGGUUCAGAACGUCGUGAGACAGUUCGGUCCCUAUCCAUCGCGGGCGCAAGAGAUUUGAAGGGGGCCGCUGGUGUACCAAUUAUCCCGCCAGGGGUACAGUUGGGUAGCUACGUUCGGAAAGGAUAAACGCUGAAAGCAUCUAAGCGUGAAACCAGCCUUAAGAUGAGAUCUCUCAUAGAGCAAUCUAGU
rnacentral:rRNA from 1 species